GACGAACGCUGGCGGCGUGCUUAACACAUGCAAGUCGAACGAUGAAGAAAAGAAUUGAAGCUUCGGCAGAAAUUCAUUUCGGAUUAGUGGCAGACGGGUGAGUAACGCGUGAGCAACCUACCUCUUACAAAGGGAUAGCCUCGGGAAACCGGGAUUAAUACCAUAUAACAUUGCGACGAAGCAUUUCGAUGCAAUCAAAGCUACGGCGGUAGGAGAUGGGCUCGCGUCCCAUUAACCAGAUGGUGAGGUAACGGCUCACCAUAGUAACGAUGGGUAACCGGCCUGAGAGGGUGAACGGUCACACUGGAACUGAGACACGGUCCAGACUCCUACGGGAGGCAGCAGUGGGGAAUAUUGCACAAUGGAGGGAACUCUGAUGCAGCGACGCCGCGUGAGUGAUGAAGGAAUUCGUUUCGUAAAACUCUGUUCUAUGGGAAGAAAAGGACUGUACCAUAGGAGAAAGCUCCGGCUAAAUACGUG
rnacentral:rRNA from 1 species